CGGAUGGAAGCAGCUUUUUGCAUCAAG
rnacentral:piRNA from 1 species